AUUGAACGCUGGCGGCAGGCCUAACACAUGCAAGUCGAGCGGACGAAGGGAGCUCGCUCCUGGAUUCAGCGGCGGACGGGCGAGUAAUGCCUAGGAAUCUGCCUGGUCGUGGGGGAUAACGUCCGGACACGGGCGCUAAUACCGCAUACGUCCUGAGGGUGAAAGUGGGGGAUCUUCGGACCUCACGCUAUCAGAUGAGCCUAGGUCGGAUUAGCUAGUUGGUGGGGUAAAGGCCUACCAAGGCGACGAUCCGUAACUGGUCUGAGAGGAUGAUCAGUCACACUGGAACUGAGACACGGUCCAGACUCCUACGGGAGGCAGCAGUGGGGAAUAUUGGACAAUGGGCGAAAGCCUGAUCCAGCAAUGCCGCGUGUGUGAAGAAGGUCUUCGGAUUGUAAAGCACUUUAAGUUGGGAGGAAGGGCAGUAAGUUAAUACCUUGCUGUUUUGACGUUACCAACAGAAUAAGCACCGGCUAACUUCGUG
rnacentral:rRNA from 1 species